rnacentral:lncRNA from 1 species
UCAGCCGGCGCACCUGGCGGAGGAGGAACCUCGCGACGCGCUCUCGGGCAUCGGUUUCUCCCAGCAAAGCUUGGAGGGUUUAGCUGCGCGGAGAGCUCAGCGAGCUCUUCUGUGUCUGUUUGGGGCGUGUGGGCUCCGGGAGCGUGAGGACCGGGAAGCUAGGAGGCUCCUUCCCUUCUGGCGGCUCCCUCACUGAGACCGGGCGGUUUGGUUGCGGGGGAAGUGGAGACGAGCCACCCUUGACCUUUGACUGCAAGAACUCACCUUGAGCAGGAUAGAGGCACGUGGACGGUGACCCUCGGGAUGCAAUAAAUGCUGAGACAGAUCAGGUGUGCAAGGCACAGAGCUAGAGGCCAGAGGCCUUUCUUCUCCAACCUUCAGUCACCUCUUUUUAAAGUGAAGCCAGCAUCCUCCUCGGGGUUUACUGUGAAAAUUAAGUGAGCUGACGCGUGCUGUGUUUUGAUGUUGCUUGGCUCCUACAAACAUUGAGUGGGCCAGACACUGUUCUGAAAAAUACGCAGUCGACUUUUGAACAGCACAGGCUUGAACUGCAUGCGGCCACUAAUACUCGGACUUCCUUCUGCCUCUGCCAUCCCUAAGACAGCAAGACCCACCCCUCCUGCUCCUCAGCCUACUCGAUGUGAUGAUGUCUGGCUUCCUUUUCCCUUCAAUGGAAUAACAUAUACAAACUCUACCUAAGAGUGCUGUGUGAAGUACAUGCCAGCCUACAAGACAUGUCUCUAACCAAGUCGAAAGAGUGCAGUAUUCGUUCAUUCACUCAUUCAUUCAUUCAACAAAUGUUUAUUAAUAGGUAUUGUUUACCAAGCACUGUGUGUUAAGGAGAAGAUGGUAUGAAACAAGCAGACCCAGGCCUCAGG